rnacentral:rRNA from 1 species
AACGAACGCUGGCGGCAUGCCUAACACAUGCAAGUCGAACGAGACCUUCGGGUCUAGUGGCGCACGGGUGCGUAACGCGUGGGAAUCUACCCUCAGGUUCGGAAUAACUCAGAGAAAUUUGAGCUAAUACCGGAUGAUGACGUAAGUCCAAAGAUUUAUCGCCUGAGGAUGAGCCCGCGUAGGAUUAGGUAGUUGGUGAGGUAAAGGCUCACCAAGCCGACGAUCCUUAGCUGGUCUGAGAGGAUGAUCAGCCGCACUGGGACUGAGACACGGCCCAGACUCCUACGGGAGGCAGCAGUGGGGAAUAUUGGACAAUGGGCGAAAGCCUGAUCCAGCAAUGCCGCGUGAGUGAUGAAGGCCUUAGGGUUGUAAAGCUCUUUUACCCGGGAUGAUAAUGACAGUACCGGGAGAAUAAGCUCCGGCUAACUCCGUG